AGCGUCAUGGCGCAGAGGAAGCGCACAGGGCUCAUAACCCUGGGGUCCUUGGAUCGAAACCAAGUGACGCUA